GGCUCGGGACGAACGCUGGCGGCGUGCCUAAUACAUGCAAGUCGAACGGUCUUUUCUAUGGAAGCUUGCUUCCACUGAGAAGAUAGUGGCGAACGGGUGAGUAACACGUGGGUAACCUGCCCAUAAGAGGGGGAUAACAUCCGGAAACGGGUGCUAAUACCGCAUAGUUUUCUUGAUCGCAUGAUCGGGAAAGGAAAGACGGCCUUUGUGCUGUCGCUUAUGGAUGGACCCGCGGCGUAUUAGUUAGUUGGUGAGGUAACGGCUCACCAAGACGAUGAUACGUAGCCGACCUGAGAGGGUGAUCGGCCACAUUGGGACUGAGACACGGCCCAAACUCCUACGGGAGGCAGCAGUAGGGAAUCUUCCGCAAUGGACGAGAGUCUGACGGAGCAACGCCGCGUGAGUGAAGAAAGGUUUUCGGAUCGUAAAACUCUGUUGUCAGAGAAGAACAAGUUGGAGAGUAACUGCUCCAGCCUUGACGGUAUCUGACCAGAAAGCCACGGCUAACUACGUGCCAGCCGCUGC
rnacentral:rRNA from 1 species